rnacentral:rRNA from 1 species
UACAGGGGGUGCAAACGUUGCUCGGAAUCAUUGGGCGUAAAGCGCACGUAGGCGGUCUGUUAUGUCGGAUGUGAAAGCCCUCGGACUCAACUGAGGAAGUGCAUCCGAAACUGGCAGGCUAGAGUACUAAAGAGGGUCGCGGAAUUCCCGGUGUAGAGGUGAAAUUCGUAGAUAUGGGAGGAACACCGGUGGCGAAGGCGGCGACCUGGGUAGAUACGUGACGCAUGAGGUGGCGAAA